AGUGUCUGGACAGUUAUCUGCAAAUGUGAACAGUUAUCAGCUUCCAUUGACACAUCAUUUAGAAAAUAAUAACCAAGGCACAGUAUGCAAAGAAUAUAUCCAUAGAUAUAAGGCAAUAUUCACAUGUAUCAUCCACAGACUUAAGAUAAUAUUCAUAUUUAAACAUCAUAAAGACAACAAAACCCUUUAACAUUAUUCAUAAUGUAUCCAACUUAAAAUCAAAAGGCU
rnacentral:lncRNA from 1 species